GGCUCUCUCUCUACUUUGUUUCUCUCUCUAAAACUUCGGCGGAUCAUAACUUUUGAUUCGUAACUCCGAUUCAGGAUCCGCGAAAAGCUACGGAUUCGUCUUGAUGUCCUCUUUCUAUCCAUAGAGGUUUGAGUUAGAUCCAAUGGUGAUUUUUAGAAGGCUCGGUUUACGAUCGGUAUUCUAGGAGGCGAUUCGUAUUAUCGAGCUCUGAAGUCAACAUAGUUGAAGCAAAAGGAUUUUGGAAGCUAUACGUGGAAACAGCAACGGAAUUGCUUCAGUCCAUUCCAAAGCAAGUCUCUAGAAAUUGGUUGACUUGAUUGGCAAAAUUUGGAAAAUGGUUCUUUCUUCAUUGAUUACUAGUCUCUGUCUUACAUUAUGAUAGAAGUUGACCCAGCACAACUUAUAUGACUAUUGCUGGGGAUGCGUAAUUGCGUAUAUGACUAGUCUCGGUUUUGUACAAUCAUUCUUUGUUUCUCUCCGUUUUGAAUGAAGGGAGCUUCUAUUCAUACCUCUAAAAUUGAUAUUUAGACCUCCAACUUACUUUUACAAAUAACCAAUAUGCUAUCUACACCUCCCUAAUUUUCCCAUAAUACCCAUCAUCUAAUAAUAACGAUAAAAACUUUUUUUUAGAGUGUUCUAUUCAUAUACCUCCAAAAUCGGUAGUUAGACCUCCAUCAAUUUUUUAACGUUUCACAAUAUUAUUUUACUCUUGAUAUAACUAAGCUGAAAAAAAAAAUCUUUCAAUUGAUAGCUCUCUCCCCCCCUGCUUAUUGUUGUAUUUUGUAGGCAUACGCAUCUUUAGAGGCUAAGAGCAGUUCAUUUUUUUUCAACUUCCUAAGAUUCCCUCGUUUCAUAUAUUAGCUCAAACAGUACGCUCCAAUGGAUGAGUUUGAUUUUAAGCGAAAGUGGUCUGUUGGUGUUUUGGUUAGAGAAUAUUGCAUAUCCGAAAUUGACUCGAGGCACUGCAAAGUAAGGAACUGGUCUGUUGAUUUCUCCGCUGCUUGGUAAGGAUGAAGAUCAUAACAAAAACAAAAGGGAAAAAAUGGCAUGACGAUGAAUAUUUGUUGAUUUCAUACCUCUAAAAGGGAAAAGAAUUUUUUUAAUUUUUGUUUUUUCUCUUUUGUGUCUUUAUUGGUAAUUUGACAUGAGUUGACAAAGUCAACUAUCACUUGAAAAAAGAAAGAGGUCCAAAUGCCAAUUUUGGAGGUAUGAAUAGAAGCUCCCAUUUAAGAAAUAUCUCUCUAUUUUCAAGUGAAGCAUGUCUAUUUGCGAAAAAUGCAGAGUUUAUAUAUAUUAUGUGUUGGAUCCA